AAACAGAAACACAUGCAGCCACACUGGUCAGCAGAAAGGGCCCAAUUCUUCUCCAUGACAAUGCCCUAUCACACGUUGCACAACCAAUGCUUCAAAAGUUGAAUGAAUUGGGCUAUGAUGUUUUGCCUCAUCGGCCAUAUUCACCUGACCUUUCACCAACCGGCUAUUUUCACCUCUUCAAGCGUCUCAACAACUUUUUGCAGGGAAAACGCUUCUAUAACCAGCAGGAUGCAGAAAAGUUUGUUGAAUCCUGAAGUAUUGAUUUUUAUGCUACAGGAAUAAACAAACAUUUCUCAU